CCGGGGUGAGUAAUGUCUGGGAAACUGCCUGAUGGAGGGGGAUAACUGCUGGAAACGGUAGCUAAUACCGCAUAACGUCGCAAGACCAAAGAGGGGGACCUUCGGGCCUCUUGCCAUCGGAUGUGCCCAGAUGGGAUUAGCUAGUAGGUGGGGUAACGGCUCACCUAGGCGACGAUCCCUAGCUGGUCUGAGAGGAUGGCCAGCCACACUGGAACUGAGACACGGUCCAG
rnacentral:rRNA from 1 species